rnacentral:tRNA from 1 species
AAACAAAUAGCUUAAAUUUAAAGCGUUACAUUGAAGCUGUAAGUAUAGAAUAUUUCUUUUGUUUA